rnacentral:rRNA from 1 species
GUCUAUGGCCAUACCACUCUGAACAUGCCCGAUCUCGUCUGAUCUCAGAAGCUAAGCAGAGUCGGGCCUGGUUAGUACUUGGAUGGAAGAGAGAGGCCAAGUGGUGGUGCAUC